rnacentral:pre_miRNA from 1 species
CACAGGUAAUAGUUGAAGCUGCCAGCAUGAUCUCAACCUCUCUCAGCUUUCUGAGGGAAGAUCAGAUCAUGCGGUAGUUUCACCUGUUCUUUGG